rnacentral:rRNA from 1 species
UACGAAGGGGGCUAGCGUUGCUCGGAAUUACUGGGCGUAAAGCGCACGUAGGCGGCUUUCUAAGUCGGGGGUGAAAUCCUGGAGCUCAACUCCAGAACUGCCUUCGAUACUGGAGAGCUUGAGUCCGGGAGAGGUGAGUGGAACUGCGAGUGUAGAGGUGAAAUUCGUAGAUAUUCGCAAGAACACCUAUUGCGAAGGCAGCUCGCUGGGACGUAACUGACGCUGAGACGCGAAAGCGUGGGGAGCAAACAGG